rnacentral:rRNA from 2 species
GGCAACGGAUAUCUCGGCUCUUGCAUCGAUGAAGAACGUAGCAAAAUGCGAUACUUGGUGUGAAUUGCAGAAUCCCGUGAACCAUCGAGUCUUUGAACGCAAGUUGCGCCUGAAACCAUUAGGUUGAGGGCACGUCUGCCUGGGUGUCACACAAUGUUGU